UUGACAGUUUCUUUUUGACAACAUUUUUUCCCAUUGCUUUGUUUAUUUUUUCCCUUCCUUUUUGAUACUUGUAAAAGGAGGAAAGAAUGGCGGAAA
rnacentral:ribozyme from 12 species